AACGAACGCUGGCGGCAUGCCUAACACAUGCAAGUCGAACGAGACCUUCGGGUCUAGUGGCGCACGGGUGCGUAACGCGUGGGAAUCUGCCCUUCGGUUCGGAAUAACUCAGGGAAACUUGAGCUAAUACCGGAUGAUGACUUCGGUCCAAAGAUUUAUCGCCGAGGGAUGAGCCCGCGUCGGAUUAGCUAGUUGGUGAGGUAAAGGCUCACCAAGGCGACGAUCCGUAGCUGGUCUGAGAGGAUGAUCAGCCACACUGGGACUGAGACACGGCCCAGACUCCUACGGGAGGCAGCAGUGGGGAAUAUUGGACAAUGGGCGCAAGCCUGAUCCAGCAAUGCCGCGUGAGUGAUGAAGGCCCUAGGGUUGUAAAGCUCUUUUACCCGGGAUGAUAAUGACAGUACCGGGAGAAUAAGCCCCGGCUAACUCCGUGCCAGCAGCCGCGGUAAUACGGAGGGGGCGUAGCGUUGUUCGGAAUUACUGGGCGUAAAGCGCACGGUA
rnacentral:rRNA from 1 species